GCCGGGGCCGGGGCCGGGGCCGGGCAGCGGCGCUGCAGGUCUCGCAGCCCCCGGGAACGCGCCGGGGCUGGAGGGGGCUGGACAGCGAUGGGGCCGCUGCCCCCGGCUCGGCUGCAGUGUGACAUCCGUGUUUUGCGCCGGAUCAGCCCAUCCUUCUGUGGGAUAGGGAAGGGAAAUGGCUGCAAGGGAGGCAGUUCAGGCGCCAGUGACCUUCGAGGAGGUGGCCGUGUAUGUCACCAGGG